CACCUUACUCUAAUUGGUGAGUAAGAAGGACCAUUGGGGUCAACUGG
rnacentral:ncRNA from 1 species